rnacentral:rRNA from 1 species
GAUGAACGCUGGCGGCGUGCCUAAUACAUGCAAGUCGAGCGAACAGACGAGGAGCUUGCUCCUUUGACGUUAGCGGCGGACGGGUGAGUAACACGUAGGUAACCUACCUAUAAGACUGGGAUAACUUCGGGAAACCGGAGCUAAUACCGGAUAAUAUUUCGAACCGCAUGGUUCGAUAGUGAAAGAUGGCUUUGCUAUCACUUAUAGAUGGACCUGCGCCGUAUUAGCUAGUUGGUAAGGUAACGGCUUACCAAGGCAACGAUACGUAGCCGACGGUGGAGGGUGCGCGGCCACACUGAAACUGAGACACGGUCCAGACUCCUACGGGAGGAAGCAGUAGGGAAUCUUCCGCAAUGGGCGAAAGCCUGACGGAGCAACGCCGCGUGAGUGAUGAAGGUCUUCGGAUCGUAAAACUCUGUUAUUAGGGAAGAACAAACGUGUAAGUAACUGUGCACGUCUUGACGGUACCUAAUCAGAAAGCCACGGCUAACUACGUGCCAGCAGCCGCAGUAAUAC